UACGUAGGGGGCAAGCGUUGUCCGGAAUCAUUGGGCGUAAAGAGCGCGUAGGCGGUCCGGUAAGUCCGCUCUGAAAGCCCGGGGCUCAACCCCGGGAGGCGGGCGGAUACUGUCGGGCUAGAGUCCGGAAGAGGCGAGUGGAAUUCCUGGUGUAGCGGUGAAAUGCGCAGAUAUCAGGAAGAACACCCGUGGCGAAGGCGGCUCUCUGGGACGGUACUGACGCUGAGACGCGAAAGCGUGGGGAGCGAACAGG
rnacentral:rRNA from 1 species